UCGGGAUAACACCUGGAAACAAGAUGCUAAUACCGGAUAACAACAGAUGAUGCCUAUCAACUGUUUAAAAAGAUGGUUCUGCUAUCACUCUUGGAUGGACCUGCGGUGCAUUAGCUAGUUGGUAGGGUAACGGCCUACCAAGGCGAUGAUGCAUAGCCGAGUUGAGAGACUGAUCGGCCACAUUGGGACUGAGACACGGCCCAAACUCCUACGGGAGGCAGCAGCC
rnacentral:rRNA from 1 species